AGGAUCCAGAGUUCGGAAACGAACUAUGUGACUUAGAAGAUAUGUCAGAGCUCCCACCAGAGAAGGCAACGUUAAAAGUCAUUGAUGCUUCAAGCCCUGACCCAGAGGGAUCAGAUGUGUCAUUGUCUUCACUGGAUACUGCAUCACCUCCAAGCUCAUCUGAAUCCCCCAGAACAACUGUAAGAGCUGGUAGGCGGUCCUCUGCAUGGCCUUCUCCUUUUCCAAUACCAAGCUUCUCUUAUGAUGUUGAAUUGCGCCUUCAAAAGGCAAAUGGUAUCUACAACGACAAUGGUACUCUGCUCGACGUCACCAGAGACAUCAAGAGUGAAAUCCUUGAUAAAAUUGCACAAGCCGUGUUUGAGUUGACUGCAUAUCCAGACAGGUCAGAAAUAGAUUCUGUAGCAAUGGCUCUGGUCAACAAAUAUCCCUGUCUCCGUGAACCAGGCAGUGGAAAUGGGUGGAAUGGAUGGAGAAUGAGUAUUGCGUUCAAGAUUGGAAAUUACCGUCAAAAGCUGCGGAAUGCCGGCUGUGAAGAAGUUAAAGUAAAUGAAAGGAGGGGAAGCCGUGAAGAAGGUAGGCCCGGCUUAAAAAAAGCAAGGAGAGCUGAAGUUCAUUUCCUCCCUGACCAGCCCGCUGGACAAACUCAAGACGCUAUGGAAAAAGACAGAAAGGCACUGACAGCAGAGAUGGAAAAAAGGAGUCCGAACAUGACGUUUAUUAAUGACGCUAUGGAUCGUACGUUUCCCUUGAGGAGGAAGGAAAUAGUUGACCAGGAACCCGGUGUUGAUCUGGUGAAGCGCAGAUGGCCAGCACUUUUCAUGGAAUACCAGGUGAAUUGUGAAUUUCACAGAAUCACUAUGGUUGACCUGCAAAGAAAAUUCCUUGGUUUCCUGGAAACUCACACCCCUAAAAUCCUGAAGAUGUAUCGAACCAGAAGAACACACUUCGGUGAGGAGAUGCAGAAACUCCUUGACUCGUUGGAUAAGGAGAAAUCCUUGCCUCUGAGCCUCUACUGGUGGACGAAUGUAGAUGUUUCAAGUCAAAGACGACACUGUGUAGCUGUAUGUGUAACAGAGUGUAUACAUCUGACAUCUCUGGACACAGAAAAGCUGUAGCCCUCAGAGGACUUCCGCUCUUUGUCAGGGAUUAUGGAGCAGAGAAGAUCCUGAAAACAUGCUUGAACACUGAUCCAGAAGAACAACACACCAAAGGUGUGAGAAUGGCAGUCCUGACUGUGGUCGAGGAUGAUGGCGGGGCUACAGCUUCACCUCACGUGGAGGACUUCGCAAUAGUGCUUGAAGAAUGUGUGGUAAUCCACAAUAUUAAGAAUUUGCCUUCUGCGUUUUCCUUAUUUUUUGGAUUGUUAUAUGUGCUAAAUUUCCAGUACCCCAAGGAAUUGAAGUACACGUGUGAAAUAAUUCAGAAAGUCUUUCUUGGUCUUGGGGAUGACUGCUCUGCCAGAGCUCAAUCAUUCAAAAACAAACUGUUACGGUAGCUACUGGCUGAAUUUGUAAAAUUCAUUGCCUGGUGUGCAAUGGAGGACUUCGCAAUAGUGCUUGAAGAAUGUGUGGUAAUCCACAACAUUAAGAAUUUGCCUUCUGCGUUUUCCUUAUUUUUCGGAUUGUUAUGUGCUCAAUUCCUUGGGGUACUGGAAAUUAAAUUACACGUGUGAAAUAAUUCAAAGUCUUUCUUGGUCUUGGGGAUAACUGCUCUACCAGAGCUCAAUCAUUCAAAGACAAACUGUUACGGUAGCUACUGGCUGAAUUUGUAAAAUUCAUUGCCUGGUGUGUAGUUAAUUGCCUGGUUCACUGUGGAUUGUAUGUUUGAAGUUUUAUGUUUUAUACACUAUAUAUUUUUUCCUGUGCAGCCUGUUGCUGUGAACGUGUUUUUUCAUAUGGCAAUUUGUGAUGCUGAGAUGAAAUGGGACACCUCGGUCAUGUGACAGUGGCUGUUUUUGUAUCAGUAACCAAAGAUGUACCCUUUUAAAGGGAC